UUUCCCUCAGGAUAGCUGGCACUCGCUUGAGCGAGUCUCAUCUGGUAAAGCGAAUGAUUAGAGGCCUUGGGGCCGAAACGACCUCAACCUAUUCUCAAACUUUAAAUGGGUGAGAUCUCUGGCUUGCUUGAACGUUGAAGCCACGAGAUGCAAAUUUUUGCAAUGGAUCAGAGUGCCAAGUGGGCCAAUUUUGGUAAGCAGAACUGGCGCUGUGGGA
rnacentral:rRNA from 1 species